UGGGGUUUCACCAUGUUGGCCAGGCAGGUAUUGAACUCCUGACCUUGUGAUCUGCCUGCUUCGGCCUCCCAAAGUGCUGGGAUUAUAGGCAUGAUAAUCUGCCCCUUGACUGACUUUCUAAAGGCAGGGAUUUCGUAGUGUUUCUUUCAUGUGGCCUUUAGGAAGAAGCGUCCACUCUCAUUGUGUUUCACUUACCAGUUUGCUUUUAAAGAGCCAGGACCAGUCCACUAGCUGUGCGGAGUGCUGACCUCAUGGACAACAGCCCUGCCCUCAUAGGAUAUCUGAGCUUGUCAUAAUUCAGGUGGGCUCUGCAGGGAAGCAGGGGCUCAUGGGGAGUGGGAGGACGCUGGGGAGAAGAUGAGGUGUGAGUAGUCCGGUGUGAGGGAAAAUGGCGAUCCUGGGCCAACUUACGAUUAAGAGGGUCGAGUCCUGUGACUGCUGUGAAGUAACCAGGAUUUCAUAUAGAGAUGGGACUCAAAGUCAGCCCAGGUGCAGCAUGGUGGUCCCAGCAGCACCUCUGGGCCAGUCCAGCGAGGUGUAGUGUGAAGCUGAGCCCUCGGUUCAUCCUUGGUUCCAUUGUGAAGUCACACAGCAGCUUGUGUCCUUUGGGAAAAGUGGGUCUUCAUAAGAUGAUGCUCGAAACCUUCCUACUUUGGUCAGUUCGGAGAACGACUAGAUGGCGAGAGAAGUCACCAACUCUGAGGUUUUGUGAAUUAGCAGCUGAGAGAUUACUUAUAUUGCAGGGAAAAGUAAAACCAUGAAGUUUGAAUUGGAAAAAGAGCAGAACUUUGGGAAAAUGUGAUAUGUAGGGACAUUUUUUGCAACCAACUUUUAGUCACAUAAUAAACCUUCAGCAAAAAGCUGAGAAUAGCAAUGAAAGGCAUCAAUGGAGAAAUUCCAGGAAAUGGUUGGCAAGGAAAAAUCUCAGUAAAAGCAAUAAAGAGC
rnacentral:lncRNA from 1 species